AGCAGCCGCGGUAAUUCCAGCUCCAAUAGCGUAUAUUAAAGUUGUUGCAGUUAAAAGCUCGUAGUUGAAUUUUAGGCCUGACCGGGCGGUCCGUCUCUGGCGAGUACUCUCCCGUUGUCGGGUCUAUCCUUCUGGUGAGCCGAUAUGUCCUUCACUGAGUGUGUCGGGGAACCAGAACCAUUACCUUGAAAAAAAUUAGAGUGUUUAAAGCGAGCUUUUGCUUGAAUAGAUUAGCAUGGAAUAAUAAAAUAGGACGUUGGUUCUAUUUUGUUGGUCUAGGACCACCGUAAUGAUUAAUAGGGAUAGUUGGGGGCAUUAGUAUUCAAUUGUCGGAGGUGAAAUUCUUGGAUUUAUUGAAGACUAACUACUGCGAAAGCAUUUGCCAAGGAUGUUUUCAUUAAUCAAGAACGAAAGUUAGGGGAUCGAAGACGAUCAGAUACCGUCGUAGUCUUAACCAUAAACUAUGCCGACUAGGAAUCGGGCGACGUUAUUUUCAUGACUCGCUCGGCGCCUUAUGGGA
rnacentral:misc_RNA from 2 species